AGUUACUGGUGCCCUUGGAGCACUGGGUAGCCGAUAUGGCAACAAAGCAAUGAAGACUGGAAUUGGACGUUAUCCUGCAGCCCAGCUUGGUGUUGGAGGCUACAGAUCUCUUGGAUUAGGAGGAAGAGCUGGUCUGAUGCAAGGUGGAUAUGGAAACCAG